AACGAACGAAAUCCGGAUAUUUAUUCGUUUGGGUCCGUACGUUGGGUUGCGGUAUUCGUCCAUUCAAAGCGGACAGAUAAGAUGGAGUCGCGCGCAGUGGAGUUGGGCUGAUACACUACAUACGCAGGUAGAGGAGACGACGUUCCAGCCGUCGUCGGCGCAGGCCACAGGCGCUGCUCUGCUGCACGAGCUCCGCCGCAGAUAUUCCCUCGUC
rnacentral:lncRNA from 1 species